rnacentral:rRNA from 1 species
AUGGUGGGGAGCGGGGGGUAGAUUUGGCGGGGGAGGGGGGGGGAGCGGGAGGGUAAGGGACGCUCGAGGUGUGUCGUAGUGUGGCGUAAAGAGUAAGAAGGAGGGGUGCAGCGGCAUCGUCGAUCGAUCGGCCCCUCCCUCCCCGGCGGCGGCGGCUCACUCCCUCGGCCCCCUCCGCCCAACCUCCGUCCGGCCUCUACCCCGCGCCCGGCCACGUCGACGCCGCCUAGCUCUUGUUCUAUUUGGCCGUCCACUGGAAGAGGUUCGCGGCGUCGCCCAACGACUUCUUCCGCGUGCUCUAGAGGCACGAGACGCUGCGGCUCCAGCGCGAGUAGCAGAAGAGGUGGUUCCCGUUCGAUAUGCUCAUGAGGUCGGUCCUGUCAUCGUACCUACACUAAGAACUUGCAAUGGUUGCAAUGAGUAAACUUCUUUCUCGACAUGACCUAGGUUCAUAACCUUUGGUCCGUUUGACCCCUCUACUUAUACCUUCAAACUUCUAUUUUGAGCUACGUGAGGUCUUCUCAGUUUCCGUUGAGAACCCACUUGUUAACCUGGGUGAGUGGUGUUUUCUUGAGGUUGUCAACCUUGUUGUCGAACUAUCAAGAAACUUCGUGUAUUCCAGUUCUUUCUUAGUUGAAGAGAAACUCAGAUAUAGACUCGAAGUUUUCUUCCUCUUCAGUAAUUUUCUAGUCUUACCACAGGACGUCUUCGUGGAGCAUCUCUGUCUUUUCCUCUUUUUAUUGCAAAACAGUUUAUAAGUAGUGGUUCUCGUCAACUUACCUCGUUGUUUAUAAGUAGUGGUCCUCGUCGACUUACCUCGUUGUUGUUCGAGUGGCAGUGGAUGUGGUCGCUGUCGGGUUCUAAGGUACCGUGGAGGUUUAUAACCCGGUAUAGUUAGAUCUCUUAGUCCUCCCCCCUUAGGUCUUGGAGUCGGCAGAGGUCGUGUUCGUUUGUUGUCGUUAGAUGGUCGCACCUACGAGGCGUGGCAGUCGUUGUCUACUUCCGACCGCUGUCGGAGUAUACUGAGGUGGACUUCCGCUCUUACCGCGGACUGUACGCGGGUGAUACCUUCGAUCUGCGGCCACACGUCAGGUAGAGGCCGUUACCGAAGGCCACAUCGGUGAUUAUUCUGGUGCGCAGAAACGACGACCCACUUACCCCAGAAGGACAGAAUUCGAAAAGGACGUGAUAUUCUAUGAACAAAGGUGCAAAGCCAAGGUAAAAAAGAGGAUAGCUACUCGUGCUAGAACACCAACCUCAAAGCACACAUUGGAAAUUACCUCAACGCCAUACAAAAAUGCACAACACUGCCAAAAACAUAAGGUAGGCAACAUUUUUUUCGUUUUCCCGCGACGGAAGAGAAAUGUAACAAUAAUUUUUUUUUCUCGUCCCGUGACUUGAAAACCGUUUACGUACUGGUGCUG